UACGUAGGGUGCAGGCGUUAAUCGGAAUUACUGGGCGUAAAGCGUGCGCAGGCGGUUUGCUAAGACAGGUGUGAAAUCCCCGGGCUCAACCUGGGAACUGCAUCCGAAACUGCCUUGCUAGAGUAUGGGAGAGGGAAGUGGAAUUUCCGGUGUAGCGGUGAAAGUGCGCAGAUAUCAGGAGGAACACCGAUAGCGAAGGCAGCUCGCUGGGACGGUACUGACGCUGAGGCGCGAAAGCGUGGGGAGCGAACAGG
rnacentral:rRNA from 1 species